UUUUAGCAUGGGAAUAAUGGAAUAGGACGUGUGGUUCUAUUUUGUUGGUUUCUAGGACCGCCGUAAUGAUUAAUAGGGACAGUCGGGGGCAUCAGUAUUCAAUUGUCAGAGGUGAAAUUCUUGGAUUUAUUGAAGACUAACUACUGCGAAAGCAUUUGCCAAGGAUGUUUUCAUUAAUCAGGAACGAAAGUUAGGGGAUCGAAGACGAUCAGAUACCGUCGUAGUCUUAACCAUAAACUAUGCCGACUAGGGAUCGGACGGUGUUAUUUUUUGACCCGUUCGGCACCUUACGAGAAAUCAAAGUGCUUGGGCUCCAGGGGGAGUAUGGUCGCAAGGCUGAAACUUAAAGAAAUUGACGGAAGGGCACCACCAGGGGUGGAGCCUGCGGCUUAAUUUGACUCAACACGGGGAAACUCACCAGGUCCAGACACAAUGAGGAUUGACAGAUUGAGAGCUCUUUCUUGAUUUUGUGGGUGUUGGCUUUAAAUAAAAUGCUUCCCUCCCGGGGGAGUAUGGUGGCAAGGCUGAAACUUAAAGAAAUUGACGGAAGGGCACCACCAGGGGUGGAGCCUGCGGCUUAAUUUGACUCAACACGGGGAAACUCACCAGGUCCAGACACAAUGAGGAUUGACAGAUUGAGAGCUCUUUUUUGAUUUUGUGGGUUCCGAUNUUCCUUCCCCCCACCUUUAAAAAGACCAUCUAAAGAAAUCCCGGGAACGUUUUAUAUACCCUCCAUUUACUGUGUUACCGUCCCCCCAAUCUUAACAAAGUGCUCGGGGCAACCCCCACGAUCAGUGAUGUGUCACAUCUGGUCCACCGUAAGCAAGUAUGGGGAGAUCGCGGUCCCACUCCUGGGAACG
rnacentral:rRNA from 1 species